CUUUAUCAUAUUUAGCUUCACCUAUGCAUGCCUUCUUGGAGCAGUAUCUGGGCAUUUUGCAACCUACAGCUUGCUGUCCGCUAGUGUAAUGAUGGGACUCACCUACCUGUCUGUCGCCAUCUUUUCCGUAAAGGCUGACAUCAACAUGAAGAAGGGGCUAAUUUUUGUCACCGUCGUGGUGUUCGUCGUCACUGGCGCCAUCUGCAUCGGCACUUACUUCGCCUUUGGACUUUACAAGCUUCGGGACACUGCCAUUGGUGGAG